rnacentral:misc_RNA from 1 species
GUAGGUGAACCUGCGGAAGGAUCAUUAACACGUAUCCAACGUUAAAACCCCCGUGAACUUUCAGCCUGCUCUUGUAGCCCAUGUGUCGCAGCAAUCCCGGUAAAUCAAGUGGGAGGAAAGUUGUUGAUUCGGGACCUCUGUGCAUAUGCGAUAAGUUACAAUUGAGCGGUAGAAGCAGUGGCAUGGCGCCCCAAGGUGGCGAGUUGAAUUGGAAAGUGUCAACUCGAGGAUCCACUGUAAGGAAUAACGC